GGAGUACAGCAGGGGAUCGAAAGGCCUUAUGCUUUUGGAGUGGCCGAUGUCUGAUUAGCUAGUUGGUGAGGUAAAGGCUUACCAAGGCAACGAUCAGUAGUUGGUCUGAGAGGAUGACCAACCACACUGGGACUGAGACACGGCCCAGACUCCUACGGGAGGCAGCAGUGGGGAAUUUUGGACAAUGGGGGAAACCCUGGUCCAGCAAUGCCGCGUGAGUGAAGAAGGCCUUCGGGUUGUAAAGCUCUUUCAGUUGAGGAGAAAAGAUUCUGACUAAUAAUCAUAAUUAAUGACGGUAUCAACAGAAGAAGCACCGGCUCACUACGUGCCAGCAGCCGCGGUAAUACGUAGGGUGCGAGCGUUAAUCGGAAUUACUGGGCGUAAAGGGUGCGCAGGCGGUUAUGUAAGUCGGAUGUGAAAUCCCCGGGCUUAACCUGGGAAUGGCGUUUGAAACUA
rnacentral:rRNA from 1 species